GGACGCGUCGCGCGGGAUGCCGGGGAUGAGGAAAGUCCGAACUGGACAGGGCGCGGUGGUUGUUAACGGCAACCCGGCGUGAGCCGAGGGAAAGUGCCACAGAAAACACACCGCCUAAGCUGGAGACUAGAGACUGGAGAACUAGAGACUAGAAAGAACAACCUAUCGAAGCACGAUGCCCAUCGCGGCGCAGGCGUGCCGCUCUUUCUAGUUUCUAGUUCUCCAGUCUCCAGUCUCUAGUCUCUAGCCGGUAAGGGUGAAAAGGUGCGGUAAGAGCGCACCGCGUCCGCCGUGAGGCGGAUGGCAGGGUAAACCCCACCGCCAGCAAGCCCAAAUAGGCGGCAAGAGGCGGCCCGUCUCGAUGGGGGCUUCGGCCCCUGAAAGCCGCGGGUAGGGUGCAAGAGCCGUCGGGCGACCGGCGGCCUCAGAUGAAUGAUC
rnacentral:RNase_P_RNA from 1 species